UACGUAGGGGGCGAGCGUUGUCCGGAUUCAUUGGGCGUAAAGCGCGCGCAGGCGGUCGUGCAAGUCGGGUGUGAAACCCCCAGGCUCAACCUGGGGACGCCACCCGAUACUGUUGUGGCUAGAGUCCAGUAGGGGAGUGUGGAAUUCCCGGUGUAGCGGUGAAAUGCGCAGAUAUCGGGAGGAACACCAGCGGCGAAGGCGGCACUCUGGGCUGGUACUGACGCUGAGGAGCGAAAGCGUGGGUAGCAAACAGG
rnacentral:rRNA from 1 species